rnacentral:misc_RNA from 1 species
GAGGCAUCUCAAGAAUUGAAAGGGGUAUUUUGGUCUUCUCUUGUUGAAAUAAUGGCAAAUUUACUUUAAAAUGGAUGAACUUAUUUGUUGACAAAACCAAUAAUUAGGGGUUAAAUAAACUAUUUCUGAAAAACUAGAGAUGCAAGUGUUAGCUAUGGCAUAACUCAAGGACCGAAGAAUAAAUUUUCCUUAUUAGAAAAGCUCCAUUGUUCUUUUUGAGAUAAUUAAUGCUGUUAUGAAUCAUUUCAUUCCGUUUAACCCCUAGAGAAUUUGGGAUUCUAUUUGAAUGGCAUAAAACUUGUAGAAAUCAGAGAAUUUGAAAAUUUUUCUUU